rnacentral:rRNA from 1 species
UACGUAGGGGGCUAGCGUUGUCCGGAAUCAUUGGGCGUAAAGCGCGCGUAGGCGGCCCGGUAAGUCCGCUGUAAAAGUCAAAGGCUCAACCUUUGAAUGUCAGUGGAUACUGCCGGGCUAGAGUCCGGAAGAGGCGAGUGGAACUCCUGGUGUAGCGGUGGAAUGCGCAGAUAUCGGGAGGAACACCAAUGGCGAAGGCAGCUCGCUGGGACGUUACUGACGCUGAGACGCGAAAGCGUGGGGAGCGAACAGG